AUUGAACGCUGGCGGCAUGCCUUACACAUGCAAGUCGAACGGUAACGGGCCUUCGGGUGCCGACGAGUGGCGAACGGGUGAGUAAUGUAUCGGAACGUGCCUUUCAGUGGGGGAUAACGUAGCGAAAGUUACGCUAAUACCGCAUAUUCUGUGAGCAGGAAAGCAGGGGAUCGCAAGACCUUGCGCUGAUUGAGCGGCCGAUAUCAGAUUAGCUAGUUGGUGAGGUAAAGGCUCACCAAGGCGACGAUCUGUAGCGGGUCUGAGAGGAUGAUCCGCCACACUGGAACUGAGAAACGGUCCAGACUCCUACGGGAGGCAGCAGUGGGGAAUUUUGGACAAUGGGGGCAACCCUGAUCCAGCCAUGCCGCGUGAGUGAAGAAGGCCUUCGGGUUGUAAAGCUCUUUCAGCCGGGAAGAAAUCGUAUCAGCUAAUACCUGGUGCGGAUGACGGUACCGGCAUAAGAAGCACCGGCUAACUACGUGCCAGCCGCCGCGGUAAAAC
rnacentral:rRNA from 1 species